rnacentral:rRNA from 1 species
CCUACGGGUCGCAGCAGUGGGGAAUAUUGGACAAUGGGCGAAAGCCCGAUCCAGCAAUGCCGCGUGUGUGAAGAAGGUCUUCGGAUUGUAAAGCACUUUCGACGGGGACGAUGAUGACGGUACCCGUAGAAGAAGCCCCGGCUAACUUCGUGCCAGCAGCCGCGGUAAUACGAAGGGGGCUAGCGUUGCUCGGAAUGACUGGGCGUAAAGGGCGCGUAUGCGGUUUAUGCAGUCAGAUGUGAAAUCCCCGGGCUUAACCUGGGAACUGCAUUUGAGACGCAUAGGCUAGAGGUCGAGAGAGGGUUGUGGAAUUCCCAGUGUAGAGGUGAAAUUCGUAGAUAUAGGGAAGAACACCGGUGGCGAAGGCGGCAACCUGGCUCGAUACUGACGCUGAGGCGCGAAAGCGGGGGGAGCAAACAGGAUUAGAUACCCCCGUAGUC